UACGGGGGGUGCGAGCGUUGUCCGGAAUCACUGGGCGUAAAGGGCGCGUAGGUGGUUUGAUAAGGGUGUGGUGAAAGUCCGGAGCUCAACUCCGGAUCUGCCGUGCCGACUGUCAAACUCGAGGGCUGUAGAGGCAGACGGAAUUCCGGGUGUAGCGGUGGAAUGCGUAGAGAUCCGGAGGAAGACCGGUGGCGAAGGCGGUCUGCUGGGCAGUUUCUGACACUGAGGCGCGACAGCGUGGGGAGCAAACAGGG
rnacentral:rRNA from 1 species